CCUUUAACCCUGAGGAGAGGGAAACAGUCACAGAUCUGGGGUCAGUUUAGCAUCCCACAGUCCUUAACCUUUAACCCUGAGGAGAGGGAAACAGUCACAGAUCUGGGGUCAGUUUAGCAUCCCACAGUCCUUAACCUUUAACCCUGAGGAGAGGGAAACAGUCACAGAUCUGGGGUCAGUUUAGCAUCCCACAGUCCUUAACCUUUAACCCUGAGGAGAGGGAAACAGUCACAGAUCUGGGGUCAGUUUUAGCAUCCCACAGUCCUUAACCUUUAACCCUGAGGAGAGGGAAACAGUCACAGAUCUGGGGUCAGUUUAGCAUCCCACAGUCCUUAACCUUUAACCCUGAGGAGAGGGAAACAGUCACAGAUCUGGGGUCAGUUUUAGCAUCCCACAGUCCUUAACCUUUAACCCUGAGGAGAGGGAAACAGUCACAGAUCUGGGGUCAGUUUUAGCAUCCCACAGUCCUUAACCUUUAACCCUGAGGAGAGGGAAACAUCAGACUGACCCAAUAUCACUGUUUUGGGAUUCAUGUAAUCUGCCUUUUUCAUUUAAUAGCAGGAUUAUACACACACACACGUUUGGUUUGCGUUUGGUUUUUUAACUAUGCAGAUGUAAUAUGAUGAUGAAUUGUUGUAAUAUAUUUUAUAAAUGAUUAUUAGACUGAAAUGGGCAAUUAAAGGUAUUUUAUAAAGCAUGAUGAUAAUACAUUUUAUGUUUUUAUUUGUUUUUUUUAAUCAAUGAAUUAUAUAAAACAUUUUUAUAUAUAUAUAUAAGGUUGUGAAUGUGUAUUCAACUCUAUCUUGUAUUUUAUGUGGGGUUGUCAAUUCAAAUGGGAGUCUUCUGACCAUUCUAUAUCAAACUGUGAACUCAUUAUUCUGUACAGCAAAUGUUGCGUAAUGUUUUACAAAACAAAUAUCAGAAUCACAAUAAACCUAUAUAUUGAUACACGUUUCA